rnacentral:lncRNA from 10 species
CCAAGUAGCUGGGACUACAGGCGCCCACCACCACGCCCAGCUAAUUUUUUGUAUCAUGCUCUUUUGCCUUUCUGCCAUGGGAUGAUGCAGCAAGAAGGCCUUCACCAGAUGCAGUCCCUCGAUCUUGGACUUCUCAGCCUCCAGAACUAGGCUUCCAAGACUCUGAAAUACCAGGAUUUCCACAAACUCAUCUUGCCCUGACUGGGAAUCUUUCGGAGAUUGGAUUUCAGAGUAUUCCCCAACCUGAUCGGAUAUCACCUCCUCAAUGGAAGCUUCCCUAAUACCCUCUGAUGUUUCUAGAAGCAGGACACAUGGCUUGUGUCAUAAGUCUUGACCUGAUUAUCAUAGAUUGCCUCACCAAGUUUAGCAUACCCUGUCUGAGAGUGAUGCUGGCAAAUUAGUGAAUAAGAGGACUGUGGAAUUUAUUUGAUUGCUAAUCUUGUGUCAGGACAUGGUUAUUUUUUAAAAAAGAAGUGUCCUCUUUUGAUCUUAACUGUUUGAUAUCUCAGCCCUUGAGUGAGGCAGUUAUAUGCAAAGGAGAUGAGAAGGAUGAGAAAAGUGAGUACUUUUCCUUCAUAAAAGCCACAUGAAUUGAACAAGACUUCAGAAUUCAGAAGAACUACAUCAAGUUCUUGGGUCAUUUUUUUAACCCAUUCUCCAAGAAUUGAAAAAAUGACCUUGCAAAUAUGUGCAAGACUCUGGAAUCUUCCUUUGGCAGAUGAUGAAUGAGAUGAAUAUUUCCAGGUGCUUGCCUUCAGCACCAGCACAUGUACAUUCUAGUACUCUUGGCCUUGAUCCUACACUGAAUCUGAGGGUGCAAGGACUUUAGAUAGAGGCUCAGGACAGACUGGACCUGUAUGAACUUCUGAAUUGUAGCUAGCCUGGGCAGCCAGUUACUUGGAUCCCUCUGGGGCUUCUGGACAAACAACUCUUUUAUAGCCCAAGGUAGAUGGUCAGGGGCGACCAGAGAGAGCAAUAGAUUCGUUGACUUCAAGCUUAACAUGAGUUAGCAGUAUGGUGAGGCUUCCAGCAAAAUGUAAGCACUCAAUAAAUGUUAGCUAUUAUUACUGU